rnacentral:lncRNA from 1 species
GCUCACGGCGGCGCCGGCAGUAGGAGACAGCAGCAGCGACAGCAAUUCACAUUUCUAUCAUUGUUAUUGUUCUCCCAAUUUUCCAAGUUCAAAUUGAAGAAUACGAAGAUUAUGAUUUCAUCUUUAAUUAGACCCAAGGCAUUGUCUGUGGAUUGGUGCUCUGUCUGUGCAAAGUUUCCCAAACGUUGAUUUUGGUUGAUUUAUAAGUUCAUUUAAUUCGAAUUUUAUAAGUUCAUUUAUAAGUUUGUGAAGACAAUUUUAUAAGUAACAAAUAAAC